ACACUUGCCCGCCUUAGGCCUUCAUUCGCAGCAGGCAUGUGUGCCUGGGUUUGUUACCAGCAGCCAUUUUCUCACCCUUAAAUGAGGGAUGGGUCUCCCCUUUUCUUUUUCUGAUUUUCCUAGAGGUUACAAGAUUCCUGUUUUUCUCACCAGGAAGAGAGGUCAGCCUCAGUGAGCUCAUAGCAGUCAUACAUUGCCAGUGUUUUUCCUCAAGUGGAAGGAGAAAGGCCUUCAGAAAAAAAAUCAUACGCAAACCUAGUGCUACCACCAGCAGUAGCUCUGAAUCGAGAUUUUUGGGAGAAUUAGGCUUACUAAAGAUAAACUACAAUAAGUCUCAAGGAGGCAAAUAAUUCUGAUUCUAAUGAGGAAUCCAAGAAUAAAGGCAGCUCUUAAGGUAACUAGAUCUGGAGUCAAGCUGACCUGAGCUUGCGUGUAUAGCCCAUUUUCCUGCUUCUAGGUUGAGAGACCUUGAACAAGUUACUUAACUUUUCUAGUCCUGAAUUUCUUGGUUUCUAAAAUUGUAUACAGUCAUGAUGACACUUAAAAGACUGUUGUGAAAAUUCAAGGAAAUAAGGAUGUAUGAAGAGCUUUACAAAUUGGGAAGUGUGACACAAAUGACUUUGGUAAGGGGUGAGCAACUCACAUAGUAUUAGUUUAACCAAACUGAAUUACCAUGUGAUACUGAAAGCUAUGCCAUUGCUACUCAUGAUGUCCCUCAGUUUCAUACUGACUCAUGGCCUAGGACUCUGGUUUUCAGAUCAAGUACUCUGACUAGAAAAUAUCCUCAUGUUUGAUGGAAGAGAGCAUGAGACGGAGAACCAAGUUCCUUAAAGUACGGACGUGAACUGUCUGUGGGUGACUUGCCUGGAUGCCGGCUAUAGCUGCAGCCCCCAAAGUCGAAGCUACCAGAACAGGCUGGAUGAGGAUGGCCCAAAGAUUAUGGAGUUGCUGGCCCCAAAGCAAGUCAGACACUAUGGGAAGUUUGCAUGAAUCACGCCCUUGGACAGACAACCUAAAUCAUAACUCAUCGAGCAUGGAUCCUGGUCAGCAUACCAAGUCAAGGCAAGUAAAGACUGAAGAAAUAUCACCUGGUCUGCAGCUCCCCCCAAAACGAAGUCUGCUACUGAUGGCAGAAGCAUAGAUAGACCAAGGGUAUCACUAUGUAAUGAUGGAAGAAGGAAAAACCCCAUGCAUUCACUCAUGUCUUGAAUCACCUAGAGAAGAGAGGGAAUCUGCCAAAGUGGACACAAUAGAAAUUCAGUUCUAAAUUUGGAGGAAAUGAGACCCACUCUCAGAUAAGAUGAAAAGUAAAAGCCCUAGGAUCCAAUGGGGUAUUAAACAAAUAUUUAAAAGUA